rnacentral:rRNA from 1 species
UACGUAGGGACCAAGCGUUGUUCGGAUUUACUGGGCGUAAAGGGCGCGUAGGCGGCUUAACAAGUCACUUGUGAAAUCUCCGGGCUUAACUCGGAACGCCAAGUGAAACUGUCAAGCUAGAGUGCGGAAGGGGCAAUCGGAAUUCUUGGUGUAGCGGUGAAAUGCGUAGAUAUCAAGAGGAACACCUGAGGUGAAGACGGGUUGCUGGGCCGACACUGACGCUGAUGCGCGAAAGCCAGGGAGCAAAGCGGG